UACAGAGGGUGCAAGCGUUGCUCGGAAUUAUUGGGCGUAAAGGGUAGGUAGGUGGUCUCAUUUGUCUGGGGUGAAAGCCUUGAGCUUAACUCAAGAAGUGCCCCAGAAACGGUGAGACUGGAGUCCUGGAGAGGGUCGUGGAAUUCCCGGUGUAGCGGUGAAAUGCGUAGAGAUCGGGAGGAACACCAGCGGCGAAAGCGGCGACCUGGACAGGUACUGACACUCAACUACGAAAGCGUGGGGAGCAAACAGG
rnacentral:rRNA from 1 species